rnacentral:tRNA from 1 species
GGGGUUGUGGCUCAGCGGUAGAGCGCACGCCUAGCAUGUGUGAGGCACUGAGGCACUGACUUCGAUCCUCAGCACCACA